AGGCCAUAUCACGUUGAAAUAUCGGUUCCCGAAUGAUCACCGUAGUUAUGCGACGUCGAGCCUGGUCAGUACCUAGAUGGCCGGCCGUUUGAGAAUACCAGGUGUUGUAAG